rnacentral:rRNA from 1 species
UGAGGAAUACAUCGGAAUCUACUCUGUCGUGGGGGAUAACGUAGGGAAACUUACGCUAAUACCGCAUACGACCUACGGGUGAAAGCAGGGGAUCUUCGGACCUUGCGCGAUUGAAUGAGCCGAUGUCGGAUUAGCUAGUUGGCGGGGUAAAGGCCCACCAAGGCGACGAUCCGUAGCUGGUCUGAGAGGAUGAUCAGCCACACUGGAACUGAGACACGGUCCAGACUCCUACGGGAGGCAGCAGUGGGGAAUAUUGGACAAUGGGCGCAAGCCUGAUCCAGCCAUACCGCGUGGGUGAAGAAGGCCUUCGGGUUGUAAAGCCCUUUUGUUGGGAAAGAAAUCCAACUGGUUAAUACCCGGUUGGGAUGACGGUACCCAAAGAAUAAGCACCGGCUAACUUCGUGCCAGCAGCCGCGGUAAUACGAAGGGUGCAAGCGUUACUCGGAAUUACUGGGCGUAAAGCGUGCGUAGGUGGUUAUUUAAGUCCGUUGUGAAAGCCCUGGGCUCAACCUGGGAACUGCAGUGGAUACUGGAUGACUAGAAUGUGGUAG